UACAGAGGGUGCAAGCGUUAAUCGGAAUUACUGGGCGUAAAGCGCGCGCAGGCGGAUUGGUAAGUCAGGUGUGAAAUCUCGGGGGCUUAACCCCGAAUUGCGCCUGAAACUGUCGAUCUAGAAUCCUGGAGAGGGAAGGGGAAUUUCUCAUGUAGGGGUAAAAUCCGUAGAUAUGAGAAGGAACACCGGAGGCGAAAGCGCCUUCCUGGACAGGUAUUGACGCUGAGGUGCGAAAGCGUGGGGAGCAAACAGGAUUAGAAACCCCAGUAGU
rnacentral:rRNA from 1 species